rnacentral:rRNA from 1 species
UUCCUACGGGACGCAGCAGUGGGGAAUAUUGGACAAUGGGGGGAACCCUGAUCCAGCGACGCCGCGUGAGUGAAGAAGUAUUUCGGUAUGUAAAGCUCUAUCAGCAGGGAAGAAAGAAAUGACGGUACCUGACUAAGAAGCCCCGGCUAACUACGUGCCAGCAGCCGCGGUAAUACGUAGGGGGCAAGCGUUAUCCGGAUUUACUGGGUGUAAAGGGAGCGUAGACGGCGAUGCAAGUCUGGAGUGAAAGCCCGGGGCCCAACCCCGGAACUGCUCUGGAAACUGUGCGGCUAGAGUACUGGAGG